ACUCGUAUGCAAGCAGCGCUUAUGACGAGUCCUUGUGUGAUGUUAAAUACAGGCAAGAGUUGGUUAUACCGGAGGAAUGCUUAGUGUUGAACAGCGCCAAGAAUAACAAGAACAUAGGAAAAUUAAUGAAAGACAGAAUUGGUACAUGCAAUACAGGUUUCCAGCCCAGAAACAAUAAGCUAAAUCAGAUAGUAGGUCCGCCUGAAGGUACCUACUUGGCAAGUUCACAUCCCAUUAUUUUAGGAGCUGAGAAGUUGGCUCCGGAUGUAAUGUUGUCCCCUGUGGGUUUCGAACCCACGCACCCUGGGUCCCCACGCCAAGGCGCUACCUGGU
rnacentral:sRNA from 1 species